GUUCAGGUGAAGGUUCUCCAUUCUUGGCGCCAAUAUACCAACAACACUGAUGAAACCCUUGAAUUAGUCUUGGCUGAUUCACAGGGUGUCAAGACUCAAGAUUCAUGCAGAUCAUGACAUUGCAUCCUCAGGUACAGCUUACAUAGAUGAUGGAGAUUCAGUUUAUGAAUACAAAAACACAGAAAGAGCAAAACAUAGGUAUUCACUAUGUAUUGUAUGGGAACAAAGACGUUGAAUAAACACAUCUUAUUAUUAAAAGGUCAGUCAUUGUAAUGGAAACUAGACUACGACACCAAUUCUGAAUCCAAAAUCCUAUCCAAGAACCAUCUUUAUGUGUUUUCUUGAAGCUAUGCUAUUCUUUGGAUUAUCAAAUCUAUAUUAUUUUUUGAUUUGCUAUAUACUUUUUUUAUAAAGCAACAAUAUAAACCACAAUAAGUCAUUGCUUUUCUACACUAAACAAAACUUCAAACUAAUAACUAUUCACAGUAUUUUAAAAUAAACACAAACCAAAACCCUAGAAGAUGAAAUUGGCAUUUCCUAAAUCAGUCAUUGUUGUUCUCAAAAUUGAAAUCUCAGGACGGAGAGGAUAAUAAUUCAAGAUUGAGAGUAGAAGAGGGACUGACUUUGAUG